rnacentral:rRNA from 1 species
CCUACGGGCGGCAGCAGUGGGGGAUAUUGCACAAUGGGGGGAACCCUGAUGCAGCGACGCCGCGUGGGUGAAGGAGCGUUUCGGCGCGUAAAGCCCUAUCGGCAGGGAAGAAGAUGACGGUACCUGACCAAGAAGCCCCGGCUAACUACGUGCCAGCAGCCGCGGUAAUACGUAGGGGGCCAGCGUGAUCCGGAUUUACUGGGUGGAAAGGGGGCGCAGACGGCAAUGCAAGCCAGGAGUGAAAGCCCGGGGCCCAACCCCGGGACUGCUCUUGGAACUGCAUGGCUGGAGUGCAGGAGGGGCAGGCGGAAUGCCUAGUGGAGCGGUGAAAUGCGGAGAUAGUAGGAGGAACACCGGUGGCGAAGGCGGCCUGCUGGACUGUGACUGACGUUGAGGCCCGAAGGCGUGGGGAGCAAACAGGAGUAGAUACCCCUGUAGUC